rnacentral:misc_RNA from 1 species
UUUGGAUGCCUUAACUGCCCCAGGCAGUUAACUUCGGUCUGACAUAAAUACAAAAGAUAGAAUAAUAAUUUUGUAGGCUAGUAACAAGCAUGAUAACUGUCAAACCAUGUGCAAAAAUAACCCAAUAGCAUUUUACAGGUAGUUACAUACACUUAGUUAACCUAUCGAAUAAAUCUACAUUUGCUCAAGGACUUCCAUCUUCAUGCCUCAAGUUUCUUUGCUCAGUAAUGUUUCUUAUUCCGGUCAUGCAAGUAAGCUAUUUUAAAAAUUUCAAGCAUGACAAACAAAAUACGUUAUUUGUCAAUAACAGCACGACUCAAGGACUGCACAUAUCUGUAAUCGAGCACGACUCAAGGACUCAAUAUCAUACAUGACUCGACGACUCAAGGACUGCAACAAAGUGGUGAGAAGUAAUCCAGACGCCCUUAAAAACAAAACAAUGAUUGCCACUGAAACACAUGGAAUCCUCAAUGUGUGUAUUUUAUUUGUCAGCAUGCUUGUUAGCGACAUGAACCUGAUGAUAUUUACAUGUAUCCAUGUCAAUAUGACAUGCAUAGUUUUUAAGCACACCAUAUUAGUAGACAAUUUUUCAUGUUUCCAUGCAUGUAAUGAAAACGUAGUGAGCAUGAAAAUAACCGAACAACUUAUCAACUCACAAGCCAUUCUCUGUGCCCUUGGUG